rnacentral:rRNA from 1 species
AGAGUUUGAUCAUGGCUCAGAAUGAACGCUGGCGGCGUGCUUAACACAUGCAAGUCGCACGAGAACGCUUCUGCUUGCAGGGGCUAGUAAAGUGGCGCACGGGUGAGUAACGCGUGGGUAAUCUACCCUUGGAUUCGGGAUAACCCUUCGAAAGGAGUGCUAAUACCGGAUGAAGUCAUUUAGGCUGUGGUUUAGAUGAUGAAAGGUGGCCUCUCCGAGGAAGCUACCGUUUGGGGAUGAGCCCGCGUACCAUUAGCUUGUUGGUGGGGUAACGGCCUACCAAGGCGACGAUGGUUAGCUGGUCUGAGAGGAUGAUCAGCCACACUGGAACUGACACACGGUCCAGACUCCUACGGGAGGCAGCAGUGAGGAAUUUUGCGCAAUGGGGGGAACCCUGACGCAGCAACGCCGCGUGAGUGAAGAAGGCCUUCGGGUCGUAAAGCUCUGUCGAGUGGGAAGAACCUUCGUAUGUUGAAUAUACAUACGGACUGACGGUACCACAGAAGGAAGCACCGGCUAACU